AAUGAACGCUGGCGGCGUGCUUUACACAUGCAAGUUGAGCGAGGCGGGUAGCAAUACCCAGUCGAGCGGCGAACGGGUGAGUAACGCGUGGAUAACCUACCCCAAGGUGGGGAACAACCAGGGGAAACUCUGGCUAAUACCGCAUAACACCGAGAGGUCAAAGGGGGCCGCAAGGCUCCCGCCAGUGGGAGGGGUCCGCGUCCGAUUAGCUAGUUGGUAGGGUAAUGGCCUACCAAGGCGACGAUCGGUAGCCGGCCUGAGAGGGUGAUCGGCCACACUGGAACUGAGACACGGUCCAGACUCCUACGGGAGGCAGCAGUGGGGAAUUUUGCGCAAUGGGCUAACGCCUGACGCAGCAACGCCGCGUGGAGGAUGAAGGUCUUUGGAUCGUAAACUCCUGUCGG
rnacentral:rRNA from 1 species